GCGGCAGCGGGGAGCGAGCCGCCGGGACCGACCCACGGGGAGCGAGCCGCCGGGACCGACCCACGGGGAGCGAGCCGCCGGGACCGACCCACGGGGAGCGAGCCGCCGGGACCGAAUCGCUGAGACCGAGCCUCCGGAGCGCGGGUCGCGGAGCCGGGCUGGCCAGCACUCUGGUGGCGGGCGCAGCCAGACUCGUAGCUCUUAAUGCUUUCGCUUCCCUCGAGCUCCAGAGUUGAAGUCUGUGUUGUAACUCCGGAACUGGGGGCAGAGGAGCAGGCGGACGCUCGCUAGAGGGGAGCGAGCGACCCUCGGUCCAGCUCUGCGUCCGACACCCACCCGUGCGCUCCACGGAGAGAGAGGCUCCCCUGCUUCACUGCCUGCCCGACUCCCGAAGGUGUCACGGUUAGCGAACAUGUGCUGACAGAUGAGUCGUGCCCUAUAGUUUAGUUCCUAAAGGAAAGUGUCUGUGUGCAUCCCGGUCCGUAAGAGUCGCCUCUCUCUGCUGUAACUUUUAAGCUUCUUGGGGUAAGAAUUGCAACAGGUUCUGAUCUGCGGAAAAAACUGACCAAGGCAGCUGCUCCAAAUUCAAUGUAAGAAAACCACCAUUGGAAGCAAACUGCACUAGAAGUAAAAAAUUCAAGUACUUGCUGCCCUUUUGCAGGAUCUUUUACAAGGCUACACUACAAGCUAAAGCAGACACUGAUACAAAUGAAAUGGGAAACUCGGGGAGGCAAGAGCACAACAGUAAUGACAACAAAAAAAUGCUCUGCCGUGAUUUGGGCCAGCAUUUGACACAGAGAGUUUUUUGGCUCUUCGGCCGCAGUUACACAGAGGGGG